rnacentral:lncRNA from 1 species
AUCUGCUCAGCAGGGGCUGGGUCCCCUAUGCUGUUUCAGUGCACAGUAGGGGUACACUCAUAGUGAGUGUGUCGCUGCACAUACUAGGUGUUCAGCCCCCAAUGGGUGAACCUCAGUGUGCGGUGGGUGUACCCUCACAAGGCUUGUGUCUUCCAGCACUCUGUGGCGACCGUCCCCAAGAUGCAGCCCUAGGACAACUGCUCCUGAAAGGAUCCCCCAGCCCACUCCAGGCCUGGUGGCAUCCACUGUCCCUGGACACCUGAGCACCGCGGCUUCAGCUGGCUCACCCUUCCCAGGCC